CUUUAGCACUAAAUAAUGAGACAAAUAUGGUCUGUGCACUGUGCUAACAAAUGUGUAGAUUGUCUUAAAAAUCCCUUAAAAGAAUAGUCCUUCUCCCACCUGCCAAUCAACAAGGCUGUCCAUUUCUUCUUCACAGCAACUAUAGAACAGGCACUACAUUUGCUGUGACUAUUCCUCUAUUAAGCAGAUCUAGUUUACCAGACGAUUACGGGAAUAGAAUGACAGAUGUGUCAAUAGGCUGACAAUGGGUUGACAACAAAGCCAACAGGAUGGUGCCAUGGGUGAUGGGCACCCUGUUUUAGAAAUCCUAACAUAAUGCUUUUGUCGUUUUUUUAUUUGCCUACAUUUAUCCUACUAAAAACUAAACAAUGAUCAAAUACAACAAAUACAGACAGGAAGAGAUGUAAUUAGUGACAUCAGGUAAUGAUGUAAUCCAGAAG